CAAGCAUGAAUGCUGCUAUUUUCCGUUUCUUUUUUUACUUUAGCACCUGACAUUCGGGGGCUUUUGCGCAAAGAAAAGAAACGGAAAAUCGCGCGAAAAGCCUCCCUUGUGGAGGUUUUUUUAUG
rfam:Izhakiella sp. D4N98 NODE_2_length_554444_cov_106.828_ID_1989, whole genome shotgun sequence.